UUACCAGUCUCGUUCGAUCAAAAUGGUGCCACCAAGUGUGGAAAGCACACCAAUGGCCCCAGCAACAUUUGUCAACGCAACCAAGGUUGCAAAGACCGGGAUGUUCCGGGGUUUAAGAUCGUAAUCUAGUAGCAACUUGAUGACUGCACCACCAGCAAUGACGUAGGAGAGGUUCUGACAUAAGAGCCAGAGUCUAAGAACUUUAACGUAGUCCAUUCCCUCGAUCCAUUGUCCCACAAUGGGGCCAAAGAUCGCAGAAGAACCAGACUCUAUCGCACCGUAUAUGGCCGCAUAACAUCAAUAUCAAUCGGCUCUUCUCUCAAACUCUCAUUCACGCUGGGUAAGAUUCUUCCUCUGAAUAAGGCUAUAGCCCAACAUGUAUCUGAAAAAAACAACAGUAAAGAUCAUCAUUAUCAUCAGAUUAAAACGUAAACAAUGAUCACAAAAGUAAUAUAAAUUACCUAAAUGUUCUUCUUGGACAAGAGGUUCGGGAACAGUGUCUUGCCUCUUUUCUCUCCAAGUAAAAAGAAACUCUGUAAAGCUGGCAUCAUGGAUCUGAUAACAUAAAAAAAAGGUUUCGAAACCAUUAAGCAAUUAAGCCAAACAAGUCAACACCAUCGUAUCCAAUUCAUAUGAAAAUAGUACAACUGAAAAUUACAUCACAUACCUUCAAUUUGUUGCAAUCAUCCGGACUAAGUCUUCCAAAGUAACUCAGAAGCUCGUUUUCUGUCAUCAAUUUGUUGUGGAAUCGUUUAACAGUUGAGGCAAUCUCUUGAAAUAGUGUCAGUAUUUUUAUGCACAAAUUAUGUAUUAAUCAACACUGGAAAUAAAAAUAGUACUACUUCAAUGAUUUGAUGUGAUGGUCCGGACGCAUAAACCUCACUAGAAAAAUGAUACCUCCUAAUAAUAUCAUGAUGCUGAAAUUUCACUAAGAAACUUAAUAAUUUGAUAUAUUAUAUUCAUAAAAUAGUUAUUCUAAAAUGUUUUUUUCAUUUAACAAGUAAAUAGAAAAUACCAUUGGUUCAGAUUACACCAAUUUGUUUUAUGUCUAGUAUCCACUUAGCUGAUUAAAAUAACAAUAAAUUUCUUAGGCUUUAAAACUUAUAAAUUUGAUGUAGGUUUUAAGUUUUACAUAUAUAAAAAAUAAUUGAGAGAAAAGAAGAUAAUUUAAAAGGAAACAUGAUUCAUCUAUAGUAAAUAACACCGAUUAGAAAAGAAAAUUAGACUUUUUGUCAACGAGAAAAUAAGACCGUUGUUUUGUUUUCAAAUUUAUUUAUUUUAUUUAUAUGAUUAUCAUAUAAUAAAUGUAUAAAAACAUAAACUAAAAUUGUCAUUAAAUGGAUCAAAAUGAAUCAGAUUCUGUCAUUUAUUUAAGAAAAAAUAAGUGAAAUCCAAGCACCAGACCUGCAUCCUUGAAGUAUAAGGUCCAUCAAACGCUUUUUAUAUCAUCUUUAUGCUAUUUUUUUAAAAAAAUACAUAUAUUACACUAUCUUUGCUGCACUGUUUAUGCUUCAAUUAGAUUAUGAUCUUUAUUUAAUAAACCUAUGUUGUAUAGUUAGGUAAUGUAUAGUAGUUUUGUGAUGAUUGUUUAUGUUUUAAUAUGAUGCUGAUGAUGAUAAUACUAUUUACUGUUUUUAUAGAUAAUUCUUGGGUUAUAGCUUUCAAAAGAAGCCAAUCUGAAUUGGCCAAAUUAAAGGGAUCUGGUAGACCACCUCUAGAUGCCAAUAUCCUAAUGGAAGAGGUUCAUCCUCGAUAUCAAUUAGAAACACACGCUGUAGAUCGUCUAGAAGAUUUAAGUCAUUUUGAAAAAUAUGUGAAAGCAAAUGAUCGUUCACCACAUGCCACGAGGAUUUGAUCAAGCUGAUCAAGAAGAGUUUGAGAUACUAAUUGAAAAACUAUUAGCCAAAGGACAUGUAGUAGGAGGGUUUGAUGUUUUUCAAAACUACAACGAAGAAUUCUCGAGACAAGUCAAUACACAAAACUGAUAUUAUUCUCUUAUAUGUAGCUCUGAUUAAUGAUAUAUAAUUUUUCUUAAUAUAUUGUUUAAAAACAAUACAAAUGAAUUGCAGUGAAUUUUCACUCCAACAGAGACUGAGUGUCAGAUGCGUGCCUAUCAGAGAUUUCUGAGGUAUUGUGUGGUUUUGUAUGAGAAAGGUGUACAAGUUCAUGGUUCUGUGAUCCAAGAAUUUUGGGAAGCACAUGAAAGCCGUGGGGAAGAUUUUGGAGACGAGAGCUUCGUUUGAUUGGCUUGGCACAAAUGUCUAAUCACAGAAGUUGUGGAGAUGAAGGUAAGAACUUCUCUCUAUUUGUUUCCAUUUAAAUGACAAUAUUGGUUUUUUAGUAGUUAAUUAAUGUAUAUUUUUUGUUUUAGGUAUGAUCAACAAGAUCUCAUCAAUCUAUUAAACAAGUAUGGUUUAACUAAAAUCAAUCUAUGCAAUCCAAUAUUCCAAAAAAUAACGAAAUUAAUAAGAUUGUUUAUGAGCAAAGUCACAUAUAUAUUUAAAAGAACAAUUUAUUUUAUUUAUACAUAUAAAUUAUAAAAUGAUUAAAAAAUUAUUCAAUUAAAAAAAUAAAAUAUUAUUCAUUUAUUUUUAAGAUGAUUUAAGUGUUUUUAUAAAUGUUUAUAGCCAUGAAUACGGGAAAUUCAGUGUUAAAUUGAACAUUAAAACUUGCAUGUCCAAUUUGACAUCACAAAUAAAAGCCCACAAAAGCCCAGUUCACACCACCCAAUAUAAAGGAGACGGUCUUCUAGGGAUGCUCUCUUCUCGACCUCCCUGUACAAACCAAAACCGCGCUUAGUCUUUCUAUUCUCUUUUAAAUAAAUCGAUGGACAAGAGCAAGCUCAAGAGAUGCUCCACUUCAUCCACCCAUGUAAUUUUCUUCUUCUUCUUUCUUUAAUCACCUUUUUUCUCUAUUAAUAGUUUUUUUUGUUUUUGGUUUUUUUGGGCUGAAGCAGCUGAUGAGGCCACAGAUCCUUUGCAAAAGGGUAAGAAAAUAAUUGAGUUUCUCGUUCUUUGUUGUGCCAUAGUUCUUGUUCUGUGUAAUGGUCUUAUUUUUUUUCAAGGGAGUAAAGAAUACCCUAUAACUCGCAACAGAAAACUUGACAUCCACUUGAGAACCAUUCAUAUGAACAAAUCCAAAACACAAAGAGAAACGUAACCUGAGGACCGUGAAGAACAAGAGAGCUAGUGAAACCCCUGGGAGUACAACUUCUUGUUUGAUAUAAAUUCUCCACGCGCCAACAAAAGAGGACGUGGAUAUCCUAUCAAGAAGCUUCAGCAUUCCGGUUCUACGAGGAGGGUUUCCUUCCUCAGUCCCCGGAACAAUAGAGACAGAAACAUGUGCAUCUGUUCCUUCUACUGGCUUUGUUAUGGAACGCAAGAUCCGUCUCUCAUUGCUUUGUGCCAUCGCAGGAACACCACUAUACACAGAUAUGAAGAGCCAAUACUCAACCCAAGCGGUUAUAGUGGCCCAAAAUGCAAAAGUGAUGGCUGAUGCCUUCAGUGAGACAAAGCUAAUGAUGAGACCGGUGAUUACUGGAGACAAUAGCUUUGAGCUCAAAUCAAUGCCUCGAAUGACAGAGUUCAUUCUUGUCAAUACCGCUGGUGGAUAACCUUCCGACAUAACCACAGCCCUGUUUGGUAGUCAAAAGAGCAAAAUAAAAUUUGCGUAUGCAUAAAUCAUGUGAAAAAACAUUACCAGUCUCGUUCGAUCAAAAUGGUGCCACCAAGUGUGGAAAGCACACCAAUGGCCCCAGCAACAUUUGUCAACGCAACCAAGGUUGCAAAGACCGGGAUGUUCCGGGGUUUAAGAUCGUAAUCUAGUAGCAACUUGAUGACUGCACCACCAGCAAUGAUGUAGGAGAGGUUCUGACAUAAGAGCCAGAGUCUAAGAACUUUAACGUAGUCCAUUCCCUCGAUCCAUUGUCCCACAAUGGGGCCAAAGAUCUCAGAAGAACCAGACUCUAUCGCACCGUAUGUGGCCGCAAGAAGCAGAGAGUUUGGCCACAAGUAGAUCAUAUACAAAGCAACUGAGAAUUCCCAAGUUCUGCAUCAGAAGAAGAAGCUCAUACUUACCAUAUUCUGUCAUUUAUUUAAGAAAAAAUAAGUGAAAUCCAAGCACCAGACCUGCAUCCUUGAAGUAUAAGGUCCAUCAAACGCUUUUUAUAUCAUCUUUAUGCUAUUUUUUUAAAAAAAUACAUAUAUUACACUAUCUUUGCUGCACUGUUUAUGCUUCAAUUAGAUUAUGAUCUUUAUUUAAUAAACCUAUGUUGUAUAGUUAGGUAAUGUAUAGUAGUUUUGUGAUGAUUGUUUAUGUUUUAAUAUGAUGCUGAUGAUGAUAAUACUAUUUACUGUUUUUAUAGAUAAUUCUUGGGUUAUAGCUUUCAAAAGAAGCCAAUCUGAAUUGGCCAAAUUAAAGGGAUCUGGUAGACCACCUCUAGAUGCCAAUAUCCUAAUGGAAGAGGUUCAUCCUCGAUAUCAAUUAGAAACACACGCUGUAGAUCGUCUAGAAGAUUUAAGUCAUUUUGAAAAAUAUGUGAAAGCAAAUGAUCGUUCACCACAUGCCACGAGGAUUUGAUCAAGCUGAUCAAGAAGAGUUUGAGAUACUAAUUGAAAAACUAUUAGCCAAAGGACAUGUAGUAGGAGGGUUUGAUGUUUUUCAAAACUACAACGAAGAAUUCUCGAGACAAGUCAAUACACAAAACUGAUAUUAUUCUCUUAUAUGUAGCUCUGAUUAAUGAUAUAUAAUUUUUCUUAAUAUAUUGUUUAAAAACAAUACAAAUGAAUUGCAGUGAAUUUUCACUCCAACAGAGACUGAGUGUCAGAUGCGUGCCUAUCAGAGAUUUCUGAGGUAUUGUGUGGUUUUGUAUGAGAAAGGUGUACAAGUUCAUGGUUCUGUGAUCCAAGAAUUUUGGGAAGCACAUGAAAGCCGUGGGGAAGAUUUUGGAGACGAGAGCUUCGUUUGAUUGGCUUGGCACAAAUGUCUAAUCACAGAAGUUGUGGAGAUGAAGGUAAGAACUUCUCUCUAUUUGUUUCCAUUUAAAUGACAAUAUUGGUUUUUUAGUAGUUAAUUAAUGUAUAUUUUUUGUUUUAGGUAUGAUCAACAAGAUCUCAUCAAUCUAUUAAACAAGUAUGGUUUAACUAAAAUCAAUCUAUGCAAUCCAAUAUUCCAAAAAAUAACGAAAUUAAUAAGAUUGUUUAUGAGCAAAGUCACAUAUAUAUUUAAAAGAACAAUUUAUUUUAUUUAUACAUAUAAAUUAUAAAAUGAUUAAAAAAUUAUUCAAUUAAAAAAAUAAAAUAUUAUUCAUUUAUUUUUAAGAUGAUUUAAGUGUUUUUAUAAAUGUUUAUAGCCAUGAAUACGGGAAAUUCAGUGUUAAAUUGAACAUUAAAACUUGCAUGUCCAAUUUGACAUCACAAAUAAAAGCCCACAAAAGCCCAGUUCACACCACCCAAUAUAAAGGAGACGGUCUUCUAGGGAUGCUCUCUUCUCGACCUCCCUGUACAAACCAAAACCGCGCUUAGUCUUUCUAUUCUCUUUUAAAUAAAUCGAUGGACAAGAGCAAGCUCAAGAGAUGCUCCACUUCAUCCACCCAUGUAAUUUUCUUCUUCUUCUUUCUUUAAUCACCUUUUUUCUCUAUUAAUAGUUUUUUUUGUUUUUGGUUUUUUUGGGCUGAAGCAGCUGAUGAGGCCACAGAUCCUUUGCAAAAGGGUAAGAAAAUAAUUGAGUUUCUCGUUCUUUGUUGUGCCAUAGUUCUUGUUCUGUGUAAUGGUCUUAUUUUUUUUCAAGGGAGUAAAGAAUACCCUAUAACUCGCAACAGAAAACUUGACAUCCACUUGAGAACCAUUCAUAUGAACAAAUCCAAAACACAAAGAGAAACGUAACCUGAGGACCGUGAAGAACAAGAGAGCUAGUGAAACCCCUGGGAGUACAACUUCUUGUUUGAUAUAAAUUCUCCACGCGCCAACAAAAGAGGACGUGGAUAUCCUAUCAAGAAGCUUCAGCAUUCCGGUUCUACGAGGAGGGUUUCCUUCCUCAGUCCCCGGAACAAUAGAGACAGAAACAUGUGCAUCUGUUCCUUCUACUGGCUUUGUUAUGGAACGCAAGAUCCGUCUCUCAUUGCUUUGUGCCAUCGCAGGAACACCACUAUACACAGAUAUGAAGAGCCAAUACUCAACCCAAGCGGUUAUAGUGGCCCAAAAUGCAAAAGUGAUGGCUGAUGCCUUCAGUGAGACAAAGCUAAUGAUGAGACCGGUGAUUACUGGAGACAAUAGCUUUGAGCUCAAAUCAAUGCCUCGAAUGACAGAGUUCAUUCUUGUCAAUACCGCUGGUGGAUAACCUUCCGACAUAACCACAGCCCUGUUUGGUAGUCAAAAGAGCAAAAUAAAAUUUGCGUAUGCAUAAAUCAUGUGAAAAAACAUUACCAGUCUCGUUCGAUCAAAAUGGUGCCACCAAGUGUGGAAAGCACACCAAUGGCCCCAGCAACAUUUGUCAACGCAACCAAGGUUGCAAAGACCGGGAUGUUCCGGGGUUUAAGAUCGUAAUCUAGUAGCAACUUGAUGACUGCACCACCAGCAAUGAUGUAGGAGAGGUUCUGACAUAAGAGCCAGAGUCUAAGAACUUUAACGUAGUCCAUUCCCUCGAUCCAUUGUCCCACAAUGGGGCCAAAGAU
rnacentral:lncRNA from 1 species